UACGUAGGGUGCAAGCGUUAAUCGGAAUUACUGGGCGUAAAGCGUGCGCAGGCGGUUUAGUAAGACAGGCGUGAAAUCCCCGGGCUCAACCUGGGAACUGCGCUUGUGACUGCUAAGCUAGAGUAUGGAAGAGGGGGGUAGAAUUCCACGUGUAGCAGUGAAAUGCGUAGAGAUGUGGAGGAAUACCGAUGGCGAAGGCAGCCCCCUGGGCCAAUACUGACGCUCAUGCACGAAAGCGUGGGGAGCAAACAGG
rnacentral:rRNA from 1 species